rnacentral:tRNA from 1 species
GGCUCUGUGGCGCAAUGGAUAGCGUGUUGAACUUCUAAGCUAAGCUUUGGAGAUAUUCAAAGGUUGUGGGUUCGAAUCCCACCAGAGUCA